GUGGGGAAUAUUGCACAAUGGGGGAAACCCUGAUGCAGCAACGCCGCGUGAGUGAUGACGGUCUUCGGAUUGUAAAGCUCUGUCUUUAGGGACGAUAAUGACGGUACCUAAGGAGGAAGCCACGGCUAACUACGUGCCAGCAGCCGCGGUAAUACGUAGGUGGCAAGCGUUGUCCGGAUUUACUGGGCGUAAAGGGAGCGUAGGCGGAUUUUUAAGUGGGAUGUGAAAUACCCGGGCUUAACCUGGGUGCUGCAUUCCAAACUGGAAGUCUAGAGUGCAGGAGGGGAAAGCGGAAUUCCUAGUGUAGCGGUGAAAUGCGUAGAGAUUAGGAAGAACACCAGUGGCGAAGGCGGCUUUCUGGACUGUAACUGACGCUGAGGCUCGAAAGCGUGGGGAGCGAACAGG
rnacentral:rRNA from 1 species